rnacentral:rRNA from 1 species
GACGAACGCUGGCGGCGUGCCUAAUACAUGCAAGUUGAGCGCUGAAGGUUGGUACUUGUACCGACUGGAUGAGCAGCGAACGGGUGAGUAACGCGUGGGGAAUCUGCCUUUGAGCGGGGGACAACAUUUGGAAACGAAUGCUAAUACCGCAUAAAAACUUUAAACACAAGUUUUAAGUUUGAAAGAUGCAAUUGCAUCACUCAAAGAUGAUCCCGCGUUGUAUUAGCUAGUUGGUGAGGUAAAGGCUCACCAAGGCGAUGAUACAUAGCCGACCUGAGAGGGUGAUCGGCCACAUUGGGACGGAGAAACGGCCAAAACUCCUACGGGAGGCAGCAGUAGGGAAUCUUCGGCAAUGGACGAAAGUCUGACCGAGCAACGCCGCGUGAGUGAAGAAGGUUUUCGGAUCGUAAAACUCUGUUGGUAGAGAAGAACGUUGGUGAGAGUGGAAAGCUCAUCAAGUGACGGUAACUACCCAGAAAGGGACGGCUAACUACGUGCCAGCAGCCGCAGUAA